rnacentral:lncRNA from 1 species
AAAGAUCUUGGGAAGGAUGCCAAAUAAUGUACCCACAGGUAGUUAUAGUCUAUAGCAUGUGUAGUCAUAACUAUCGCAUUAGCACUCUAUGAGUUACUUGGCUUUGUCUAUGACUUGUAUAGAUAAAGCUAUUUGUAGAAACUUUACACAUAAUCAAUUUACUUUUACUUACCAAAAAGUUUUUUUGUUUUUGGAUUUUCGAAUAAGGAUAACUAAAUUGCAGCAGUAGUAAGAUAGGAAACCAGAACCUGUUGCAAUUCACGGGGAGAUCAAAGGAUGAUCCGCGGUGGUGGAGAUGAUGGCGGAAUUC